UGGGGAAUCUUCCGCAAUGGACGAAAGUCUGACGGAGCAACGCCGCGUGAGUGAAGAAGGUUUUCGGAUCGUAAAGCUCUUUCGUUAGGGACGAGCGUGCUCUUUGUGAAUAAUGAGGAGUAAUGACGGUACCUAAAUAAGAAGCCACGGCUAACUACGUGCCGGCAGCCGCGGUAAUACGUAGGUGGCAAGCGUUGUCCGGAAUUAUUGGGCGUAAAGCGCGCGCAGGCGGGAUAUCAAGUCUGUCUUAAAAGUGCGAGGCUCAACCUCGUGAGGGGACGGAAACUGGUAUUCUUGAGUGUCGGAGAGGAAAGUGGAAUUCCAAGUGUAGCGGUGAAAUGCGUAGAGAUUUGGAAGAACACCAGUGGCGAAGGCGACUUUCUGGACGAUGUCUGACGCUGAGGCGCGAAAGCUAGGGGAGCGAACGG
rnacentral:rRNA from 1 species